UCCCUUGUAGCUCAGUUGGUAAAGAAUCUGCCUGCAAUGCAGGAGACCUGGGUUUGAUUCCUGGGUAGGGAG
rfam:Ovis aries breed Texel chromosome 14, whole genome shotgun sequence.